rnacentral:lncRNA from 13 species
GGGAUGUAGUAAUGGUGAAUUGGAGCUCCCAUGGAAACAUCUGCCAGGUAGGAAGAGCAAGUUCUGAAAAUGCAUGACGUUAGUCCAGGGGAGACUCUAACCUGAAUGCUACAGCCUUUGUCAUACUCAUCCACUGCCUCUCACACAGAUGGGAAUGGUGGUGUCUGCAAACCAGAAGGGACUGCCUAUAGUCCUAUAGCCUUGCUUAUUCCCUCCAGCAACCACUACUGGCAAAGCCUAAAUUUUCACAAAGGAGAAAUGUUACCUGGCCCAGCUCCAACAUCAGGAAGCGGUGCAAAGGAGAGAUUGAGAGACACUGGAUUUGUAACCAAAAUGGAGUCUAACUCUGUCACCCAUGCCGGAGUGCAGUGACACGAUCUUGGCUCACUACAACCUCUGCCUCCAGGGUUCAACCAAUUCCUUGGCUCACCCUCCUGAGUAGCUGGGAUUACAGGCAACUGCCACCAUGCGAGGCUAAUGUUUGUAUUUUUAGUAGAGAUGGGGUUUCACCAUCUUGGCCUGACUGGUCUUGAACUCCUGACCUCAUGAUUCAUCUGCCUUGACCUCCCAAAGUGCUGGGAUUACAGGUCCCACCCCACUCCCAGUCAAACCUCUUUCAUUUGUAAAUUGCUUGAUCUUGGCUAUGUCUUUAUCAGUGGCAUGAAACAGACUAAUACACAAAUAAAACAUCAAAAAGAAUAAAAAGUAAUGUGCA